GUAACUGGUUCACUUGCAAAUCUCUCCGUGCUCCUGCAUACGAGAGGACGCCUCCAUCCUUUCUUGCUAGCUUCUGGAAUGCAGACGUGCUCCAGAAAUGACUGUAUUCAAAUGAAGAUAGUAGGCACCAAGGCUGUGUAACACUUCUCAUCGUUCAUCUAACAUACAACACAAUGCACUACAAGCCUCCUAGUGAAGAUGUCUGCUGCAGGAGGGCAAUCAAGCUGAAACAGAUCUUCCAGAGAAGAUUUGGUACUUUGGUUUACAGUGGGCUGUGUAACAGCUCACAACCACAACAUCUGCUCCAUCGUUACUCCUUUCUAGGGGCCAAACAUAUUCAGCAAGCAAAUGGAAUGGUGGCUCAACCUGCAGCUCUGCCAGAACAGCCUCCAUCUCUCUCUCCAUCAAGGUCAUUUCUGGACUUUGAUGGGCACAGCCCAACUUCCACACUACAGUUCAGGCACUGCAGCAAUUUGCUCUGUUUGAACAAGG